CACUGUUUUUGUACAGUUUGUCUUGUGUAAGGAAGUAAUUAACCCUUACAAGUUUUAAGAUGGGUAGCUCUGAAAGUACCCAAGGGGGAUUUACGGCUUUGACUAUUGUCAAGCAUCACAAAGGACAAGGAGCAAUUAAGAAUGUUAAGAGGUCACUUAAGAAAGCUGGCAUGCCCUCAGAAGGCACUCUAGACCCACAUAUAUGGAGUGAAUUUAUGGCAAAUUACAGAGGUUGGCUAGAAGAUAAUGACUUAGUAGAAGUCGCACAAAAAUGGCAUGAUACUGCUGUUGAAUUAACUAAAUGUGGUUGUAGAGAAACCACCAGGAAAGGUGUACCAUAUUAUCAAUGUUUUGGACCUUUAGGGUCCCAGAGUAGGCAAGAUCCUGGGAAAAAUCUUGUAAACCCACCCCUUUACCAGGAUAUUGCAGGGACUCCUUUAGCGAUUUCCCUUUUACGGAGAUCAAAACCUCUCUUUCCAGUAAUAUUACGCAGUGGGACUUCAUAUGGUGUCCCAGUAAGACCUAUGGGUUCAUUAGAGCAGGAAGGUAGUCCAGACUUAAAUGAACCCCUAGUUGCCCCCACAGACACCCCAGUGGGGCCAUUAGCUCCACAAUUUACUGCUCCCAUGAUACCCAAAGUUGAGAGUGUAUACCAUGAGCACAGACAGCCGAGCGCAGGUAUCCAAUACUGGGAAGAAUAUAAGCCCUGGACACCCAACUGGCAAUAAUACAGCAGCUGGCAGAUGUUGAAAAGGCCCCCUUAGCUCUAGUCCAGUCUCUAUCCACAAUUCAAGCUACUUACCAGUGUACUUGGAUGGAUUUAAAACAGAUUGUGGCACUAAAAGCUGGUCCCAUUUUGGCUAGAAUAAUUGCUAAAUAUACAGAUGCCCAUGAAGAUAACCUCAGAAAAUGCAACAUGCAAACAGAU